rnacentral:rRNA from 1 species
CUUUCCCUCUUUCUUCAUGCCUUACACAUGCAAGUCGAACGGUAACAGGUCUUCGGAUGCUGACGAGUGGCGCACGGGUGAGUAAUACAUCGGAACGUGCCCAGACGUGGGGGAUAACGAGGCGAAAGCUUUGCUAAUACCGCAUACGAUCUAAGGAUGAAAGCAGGGGACCGCAAGGCCUUGCGCGUGUGGAGCGGCCGAUGGCAGAUUAGGUAGUUGGUGGGAUAAAAGCUUACCAAGCCGACGAUCUGUAGCUGGUCUGAGAGGACGACCAGCCACACUGGGACUGAGACACGGCCCAGACUCCUACGGGAGGCAGCAGUGGGGAAUUUUGGACAAUGGGCGAAAGCCUGAUCCAGCAAUGCCGCGUGCAGGAUGAAGGCCUUCGGGUUGUAAACUGCUUUUGUACGGAACGAAAAGGCUCUGGCUAAUACCUGGGGCACAUGACGGUACCGUAAGAAUAAGCACCGGCUAACUACGUG